rnacentral:pre_miRNA from 1 species
GAAGUACUCCCUCCGUCCGAAAAUACUUGUCAUUAAAAUGGAUAAAAGGGAAUGUAUCUAGACGUAUUUUAGUUCUAGAUAUAUCUUUUUUUAUCCAUUUUGAUGACAAGUAUUUUCGGACGGAGGGAGUAGUAA